GACGAACGCUGGCGGCGUGCUUAACACAUGCAAGUCGAACGGAAAGGCCCUGCUUGCCGGGUACUCGAGUGGCGAACGGGUGAGUAACACGUGGGUGAUCUGCCCUGCACUUCGGGAUAAGCCUGGGAAACUGGGUCUAAUACCGGAUAGGAGCCAUUUUUAGUGUGAUGGUUGGAAAGUUUUUUCGGUGUAGGAUGAGCUCGCGGCCUAUCAGCUUGUUGGUGGGGUAAUGGCCUACCAAGGCGGCGACGGGUAGCCGGCCUGAGAGGGUGGACGGCCACAGUGGGACUGAGAUACGGCCCAGACUCCUACGGGAGGCAGCAGGGGGGAAUAUUGCACAAUGGGCGCAAGCCUGAUGCAGCGACGCCGCGUGGGGGAGGACGGCCUUCGGGUUGUAAACUCCUUUCGCUAGGGACGAAGCUUUUUGUGACGGUACCUAGAGAAGAAGCACCGGCUAACUACGUG
rnacentral:rRNA from 1 species